GUUUAUGGUAAACUUUACCAGUCACAAUGUGCUUAGACUUAUACUUGACUUGUGCUUACGAAUUCUUCUCAGAUUUUGUGGAGUCUGUCCCAUAUUACGAUGAUGGUGGAAAACCACUAAGUAAAAAAACUAAACAGUUAUGAUGAGUUCCUAAAGAUAAUUACACAGUCAACAUUGUGUUAAAACGUCUAUGCAAGCAAUAUCAGAAACAUUUAUAUGAAUCAGAAGAGAAAGAUUUCAAGAUUAAGUAGUUAAUAUAUCUCAGAAACUGAACAGAAAACCAUCCUGUUUGAAUGCCUGUUCAUUCACACCCAUAUGGAAUCUCUGCAUAUAUUUUGUGAUGGAUAAUUUAACGUAAAAAUUGAUAAUCGAGACUGUUAAUUAUAGAAUUGGCGUUAGUAAUGAUGAUCCAGGCUAGCUGAAAAAUGAAUCGUUAGUAUCUUGGUUCAGAGUGAAGUGAUAUGGCUGAAAUUUUCAGCAUUUUCUGUUUUCAUUACCAGUAUUAAUUUUUAACUAUAUAGCGAAAACUGUCAGCUCUUUUACAUAUCUAAUCUUACCUAAUGCCUCUUUAAACUUCUGUAUAAUCUCAAUAUUAUCAGUUAAUUCAAUAGAAUCUAUACCGUAAACUCUCUAAAAUAUAUCAAUGGUAACUAAUUGGAUGGACAUCAGUUUGCUUGAUAAUGUAAUAGUGAUUUAUUAUUCAAAAAAUUACAGGGCAUAAUUUUAAGAGCAUGGUUAGACAGUUUGCAUUGAUUUCAAUAUGCAGUACAUUGACCUCUUUGGGUCAAAUUGCUUUCAUGUUUUACAAUAUUUCUAUUGAUUCAAAAUUGUUUUAUUAUACAUUUAGUAUGUAUUAUUUUAAUACUACUAUAUAUUUUAUAACUUAACUUAUGUAUGUAACCUGCCAAAUAUAAAUUGUACACAUAUUAUUAUUAUAGGCCCACACAUAAGUAUUAGUGUAUAAUGCAGUUGCCCUUUCUGCUCAAUAGAAGCCACAAUUUUUGACGAAUCUUUUUCAAACUUGCAUGUGAUCAUAAUCACAUUUUACUUUCUGAGGUCAUGGCACUUUAAUUAGCGUAAUUUUGCUUUUCCGCCACAGUCUAUGGCUAAAUGUUUUCAUUACAAAGCUGUUGUGUAGGUGUAUUUCCAUGCUUUGCGUGGCUAUCUUGUUUUUAUUUUAGUGUCAUAUAUAUUUUUUUUGU